rnacentral:lncRNA from 1 species
CACCUCUGAAACCUCCCUUUCUCUCAAAGGAUCACGAAACCAUAACUCUUGUCACCCUUCUUUGACCUCAAUCUCAUCGGAGUCCAUGGCUUCUCAAGCCAUGGACGGCCUGUACUCACCUUUCUUCACCCCAAAACCAUGGGUGUUCGAGAUUUCGACAUCUGACCUUGAUGGCAUCCAUACAGAUCCUUCACAUAUCAGUGGUUAUAUGGUCUCUCCGGCCUUGCUUCGAUGUAUUCGAGCUUUAGGAGGCUAGCUUUGGCCAUCUCCGACUCCAGACUAGACUUACUUCCAAACCUUCUCAUUUUUAAUUUUUCAGAGAAAACCUAAAGCUAUUUGAGGUUCCUUCUUAUUUUAUUUGCCUAGAUCUGUGGUGAAUCUAUGCUAUCUUCUAUGUUUUAAGAUUGUUCCCCAAUUUUCCUUUUCUUUUAAAAAGAAAAAUAGUUUGUUUUCGAUUUAAGGUUUAUAAACAAAAUGACUUCUGUCUCUUCUUCUUCUUCUUUUCUUUGUGUGAAUUUAUCUAUGCCAUGUUCUUAUGAGUUUUUCUCUUUUGUUUUUAUAUUUUCCAUGUUAUGAGUGUACUUCUAUUCUAUUAUUCUUUCUACUGAUUUCUAUAAGCUAGGUUUUUCAUGUCUAUCUCGUAUGUUCCGUUACUGCAUUUUACCGAGCUUUUAAUAUAUUUUUUGCCUUUACCGGACUUUUGUUUUAAACUCUAAGCAUGCUUCCUCUACUCUUUCCGCCUCCUCUCUUCUAAACUUAGUUAAGUAACAAGUUGUGCUUAAAUGUGUUCCCUGUGUUUCAAAUUAGUUUCCACAUUUUGUUUGCCUUGAGCCUGCUAUUUUCUUUGUUUGUUUUUCUCAUAAGUCUCUGAAGGAGACUAGUGAACCCUCUCUUUUGUGACUCUAAAUCUUUUCUAUACGAUGUUCUCUUGUUUGUGUUGUUUGUGUGCUGUAUAUAUGAGCACCUUUCUCUCGCCUUUCUACCAAUUUGUGAUUGAUUCCGAAUUCUUUUUUAGGGUUUGAUUAAUUGUUACUGAUUUUCUUUAAAUUAAGACUCUCUUCACCUUUCCUGGUUGGAUUCAUUCAUACCAAGACUCAAAUCCUGAUUAUACUGGAUGUUGAUUAGCUGAAGAGUCAUGCUGAAUCGAUUCAUACGCAUGAUUGUUCGGUCAUACAUGGGAAUCUCUUCACAACAUUUGAAAUCAAUGACUAUUCAGCAGUUUCGCAUGAUGCUUUCUACGAUUAUUGUUGAGUUGACGUGAAUGUCAUUUGAAUUAUACUCACAGGUCGCAGCAGCGUAAUAAUGCGAUGACACUCAUUACGACCUCUAUGGGUGGUAUUAGCACAUUCUGCUCAUUUCCUUGAGGAAGGAAAGGUUAAUUUGCACAGACAUUACGUCUAGUUAUGGAGAUAAUGGCUAUUAAGUGGAUUAGCAUCACAUUUUAUAUUAUAGAUUGCAAUUCCUAAUACAAAGUUUAAGAAUCUCUCAACUUUGCUCCUAGAAAGAAUGUAACUGUCAAAUUUUAGUCCCUUUUUUCGCAUAUCUUUC